UAGAUUGAAGCCAGUUGAGUAGGGCAUUUAGCUGUUAACUAAGUAUUUAUAGGUUAAAUCCUAUCAAUCUAG
rnacentral:tRNA from 1 species